GAUGAACGCUGGCGGCGUGCCUAAUACAUGCAAGUCGAGCGAACGGACGAGAAGCUUUCUUCUCUUAUGUUAGCGGCUGACGGGUGAGUAACACGUGUAUAACCUACCUAUAAUUCUGGUAUAACUUCGGGUAUCCUUAGCUAAUACCGGAUAAUAUUUUGAACCUCAUGGUUCUAAAGUGAAAGACGUUCUUGCUGUCCCUUAUACAUUUAUCCACGAUGCAUUAGCUAGUUGGUAAGGUAACGUCAUACCAAGGCAACGAUGCAUAGCCGACAUGAGAGGGGGAAAGGAAACACUGGAAGUGAGAAACGGUGCAGAAUCCGACGGGAGGGAGCAGUAGGGAAGAUUACGCAAUGGGGGAAAGGAUGACGGAGAAAAGCAGCGGGAGGGAUGAAGGUCUGAGGAUAGUAAAACUAUGUUAUUAGGGAAGAAAAUAUGUGUAAGGAAAUGUGCACAAAUUGACGGUAACAAAACAGAAAGACACGGCUAACUACGUG
rnacentral:rRNA from 1 species